AAGGAGCACUUCUUAGCCAGCUUGCUUGGUUCAGAGGCCAGUACAUCGGCGAAUGUCCGGUGCUGGUUGCUCAUGGGUGGAACGUUGACUAUUCGGCACAUGGGUUGGUUGUUUCCAAUACUGCUUCGGCGUGGAACGGGAUGACGGAUCGGGUGUGUCGGGCACGCUGUUGGGUAUCUGAGGGUACGGACUUCAAGUCUGGACCUUCGUGAUGCCGGCCCCAGUGAACUCAGCUUCGGGUUGGGGUGGUGGGUGGCUGGUCGUUGCUUGAGAACUGCACAGUGGACGCGAGCAUCUGU
rnacentral:misc_RNA from 1 species